UACAGAGGGUGCGAGCGUUAAUCGGAAUUACUGGGCGUAAAGCGCUCGUAGGCGGCUUGUCACGUCGGAUGUGAAAGCCCGGGGCUUAACCCCGGGUCUGCAUUCGAUACGGGCAGGCUAGAGUGUGGUAGGGGAGAUCGGAAUUCCUGGUGUAGCGGUGAAAUGCGCAGAUAUCAGGAGGAACACCGGUGGCGAAGGCGGAUCUCUGGGCCAUUACUGACGCUGAGGAGCGAAAGCGUGGGGAGCGAACAGG
rnacentral:rRNA from 1 species